rnacentral:rRNA from 1 species
UACGUAGGGUGCAAGCGUUAAUCGGAAUUACUGGGCGUAAAGCGUGCGCAGGCGGUUUUGUAAGUCUGUCGUGAAAUCCCCGGGCUCAACCUGGGAAUUGCGAUGGAGACUGCAAGGCUAGAAUCUGGGCAGAGGGGGGUAGAAUUCCACGUGUAGCAGUGAAAUGCGUAGAGAUGUGGAGGAACACCGAUGGCGAAGGCGACUCUCUGGUCUGUAACUGACGCUGAGGAGGCGAAAGCGUGGGGAGCAAACAGG